CUACGGGCGGCUGCAGUGAGGAAUAUUGCACAAUGGGGGGAACCCUGAUGCAGCAACGCCGCGUGGAGGAUGACGCAUUUCGGUGUGUAAACUCCUUUUAUAUGUCAAGAAAAUGACGGUAGCAUAUGAAUAAGCACCGGCUAACUCCGUGCCAGCAGCCGCGGUAAUACGGAGGGUGCAAGCGUUAGUCGGAAUCACUGGGCGUAAAGGACGCGUAGGCGGGUUGGAAAGUCGGGUGUGAAAUCCUACAGCUUAACUGUAGAACUGCACUUGAAACUUCUAAUCUAGAGUAUGGGAGGGGGAGAUGGAAUUAGUGGUGUAGGGGUAAAAUCCGUAGAUAUCACUAGGAAUACCUAAAGCGAAGGCGAUCUCCUGGAACAUUACUGACGCUAAGGCGUGAAAGCGUGGGGAGCAAACAGGAUUAGAUACCCUAGUAGUC
rnacentral:rRNA from 1 species